rnacentral:rRNA from 1 species
GAUGAACGCUGGCGGCGUGCUUAACACAUGCAAGUCGAACGAUGAAGCCCAGCUUGCUGGGUGGAUUAGUGGCGAACGGGCGAGUAACACGUGAGUAACCCGCCCUUAACUCUGUGAUAAGCCUGGGAAACUGGGUCUAAUAGCUGAUAGCAGCGUCCACCUCAUGGUGGGUGUUGGAAAGAUUCAUCGGUUUUGGAUGGACUCGCGGCCUAUCAGCUUGUUGGUGAGGUAAUGGAUCACCAAGGCGACGACGGGUAGCCGGCCUGGGAGGGUGACCGGCCACACUGGGACAGGGGCGCGGCCAGGGCUCCAUCGGGGGGCAGCGGUGGGAAACAUUGCAAAAUGGGCGAAGGCCUGAUGCAGCGACGCCGCGUGGGGGAUGACGGCCUUCGGGUUGUAAACCUCUUUCAGUAGGGAAGAAGCGAAAGGGAGGGAACCAGCAGAAGAAGCACCGGCAAACUACGU